AUACGUAGGGUGCGAGCGUUGUCCGGAAUUACUGGGCGUAAAGAGCUCGUAGGUGGUUUGUCGCGUCGUCUGUGAAAUUCCGGGGCUUAACUCCGGGCGUGCAGGCGAUACGGGCAUAACUUGAGUACUGUAGGGGAGACUGGAAUUCCUGGUGUAGCGGUGAAAUGCGCAGAUAUCAGGAGGAACACCGGUGGCGAAGGCGGGUCUCUGGGCAGUAACUGACGCUGAGGAGCGAUAGCAUGGGUAGCGAACAGGAUUAGAUACCCUGGUAGUCCAUGCCGUAAACGGUGGGCGCUAGGUGUAGGGGUCUUCCACGACUUCUGUGCCGUAGCUAACGCAUUAAGCGCCCCGCCUGGGGAGUACGGCCGCAAGGCUAAAACUCAAAGGAAUUGACGGGG
rnacentral:rRNA from 1 species